rnacentral:rRNA from 1 species
GAUGAACGCUGGCGGCGUGCUUAACACAUGCAAGUCGAACGGUGAAGGCGGAGCUUGCUCUGCUGGAUCAGUGGCGAACGGGUGAGUAACACGUGAGCAAUCUGCCCCUGACUCUGGGAUAAGCGCUGGAAACGGCGUCUAAUACUGGAUACGAGCUGCUAAGGCAUCUUCAGCAGCUGGAAAGAAUUUCGGUCAGGGAUGGGCUCGCGGCCUAUCAGCUUGUUGGUGAGGUAAUGGCUCACCAAGGCGUCGACGGGUAGCCGGCCUGAGAGGGUGACCGGCCACACUGGGACUGAGACACGGACCAGACUCCUACGGGAGGCAGCAGUGGGGAAUAUUGCACAAUGGGCGAAAGCCUGAUGCAGCAACGCCGCGUGAGGGACGACGGCCUUCGGGUUGUAAACCUCUUUUAGCAGGGAAGAAGCGAAAAUGACGGUACCUGCAGAAAAAGCGCCGGCUAACUACGUG